AGGAAGAAGGUUUUCGGAUUGUAAACUCCUGUCGUAAGGGACGAUAAUGACGGUACCUUACAAGAAAGCCACGGCUAACUACGUGCCAGCAGCCGCGGUAAAACGUAGGUGGCAAGCGUUGUCCGGAAUUACUGGGUGUAAAGGGAGCGCAGGCGGACCGGCAAGUUGGAAGUGAAAUCUAUGGGCUCAACCCAUAAAUUGCUUUCAAAACUGCUGGCCUUGAGUAGUGCAGAAGAGGAAGGUGGAAUUCCAAGUGUAGCGGUGAAAUGCGUAGAGAUUUGGAGGAACACCA
rnacentral:rRNA from 1 species